AGUCUCUAUCUGCCUUCGGGCCUUAGCAACUCUAUUGUUUUGAGUGCGCAUGCUCAGAUGCCUGUAUUUGCAUCGCCCCAUUACCUAUUCUUCCCCACCCCCACCUGUCCUGGGGGAAUUCCAUCCCGGUUUCAUUCUUCCUGAGAGCUCGGCCAGCCUGGUUGCCAAACCUGGUGGCACAAAGGUAAAAUGGUUAUCAGGUCUAUAAUGGGGAAGGGAAGGAGAGGAAAAUGAGAAGUAGAAGGAAGAAGAAAUGGAGGAGGAGGAAGAGCUGAAGAUGAAAGAAAAAGAAGAAAAGAAAAAAGAGGAAGAGGAGGAGGAGGAAGAAGCAGAAGGAGAAGGAAAAUCAGGAAGCCUGUGGAAAACAAACUCCAACUCUAAAAGAUUGUAAAGGAAGAAUAAAUGGAAAAAAUGAAAGGAGAAGAAUUUGUGAUCAGGAAUGGAGUAUGUGGAUGAGAAGGAAAGUGGCAGGAAGAAAGCAGAUUGUAUUAAAUAAAAACCAUUAAUGUCAA